rnacentral:rRNA from 1 species
UACGAAGGGGGCUAGCGUUGCUCGGAAUUACUGGGCGUAAAGCGCACGUAGGCGGCUCUUUAAGUCGGAGGUGAAAUCCUGGAGCUCAACUCCAGAACUGCCUUCGAUACUGAAGAGCUCGAGUCCGGGAGAGGUGAGUGGAACUGCGAGUGUAGAGGUGAAAUUCGUAGAUAUUCGCAAGAACACCAGUGGCGAAGGCGGCUCACUGGCCCGGUACUGACGCUGAGGUGCGAAAGCGUGGGGAGCGAACAGG